GACGAACGCUGGCGGCGUGCUUAACACAUGCAAGUCGAACGGAAAGGCCCUGCUUUUGUGGGGUGCUCGAGUGGCGAACGGGUGAGUAACACGUGAGUAACCUGCCCUUGACUUUGGGAUAACUUCAGGAAACUGGGGCUAAUACCGGAUAGGAGCUCCUGCUGCAUGGUGGGGGUUGGAAAGUUUCGGCGGUUGGGGAUGGACUCGCGGCUUAUCAGCUUGUUCGUAGGGUAGUGCCUUACCAAGGCUUUGACGGGUAGCCGGGCUGUGAUCGUGAGCGGCCUCAUUACGAGUGGGAUGCGGCCGAGACUGCUACGGGAGGCAGAAGUCGGGAAUAUGGCACUGUGGGCGAAAACCUGUUGCAGCAACGACGCGCGCGAGAUGACGACCUUAGGGUUGUAAUCGGCUUUCGCCUGUGACGAAUUGUGAGUGUCGGUAAUGGGUAAAGAAGCACCGGCUAACUACGUG
rnacentral:rRNA from 1 species